GCGGCCGUGGUCUAGCUGGACUAGGAUGGGGGCCCUCCAAGCCCCAGAUCGCGGGUUCAAAUCCCGCCGGCCGCACCA
rnacentral:tRNA from 1 species